GACGAACGCUGGCGGCGUGCUUAACACAUGCAAGUCGAACGGAAAGGCCCUGCUUUUGUGGGGUGCUCGAGUGGCGAACGGGUGAGUAACACGUGAGUAACCUGCCCUUGACUUUGGGAUAACUUCAGGAAACUGGGGCGAAUAUCGGAUAGGAUCUCCUGCUGCAUGGUGGGGGUUGGAAAGUUUCGGCGGUUGGGGAUGGACUCGCGGCUUAUCAGCUUGUUGGUGGGGUAGUGGCUUACCAAGGCUUUGACGGGUAGCCGGCCUGAGAGGGUGAACGGGCACAAUGGGCCUGCGAUACGGACCAGAAGGCUACGGGAGGCAGCAGGGGGGAAUAUUGCACAAUGGGCGGAAGCCUGAUGCAGAAACGCCGCGUGCGGGAUGACCGCCUUCGGGUUGUAAACAGCUUUCGACUGUGACGAAGCGUGCGUGACGGUAACGGGUCAAGAAGCACCGGCUAACUACGUG
rnacentral:rRNA from 1 species